UGAGACACGGUCCAAACUCCUACGGGAGGCAGCAGUGAGGAAUAUUGGUCAAUGGGCGAGAGCCUGAACCAGCCAAGUAGCGUGAAGGAUGACUGCCCUAUGGGUUGUAAACUUCUUUUAUAAAGGAAUAAAGUCGGGUAUGCAUACCCGUUUGCAUGUACUUUAUGAAUAAGGAUCGGCUAACUCCGUGCCAGCAGCCGCGGUAAUACGGAGGAUCCGAGCGUUAUCCGGAUUUAUUGGGUUUAAAGGGAGCGUAGAUGGAUGUUUAAGUCAGUUGUGAAAGUUUGCGGCUCAACCGUAAAAUUGCAGUUGAUACUGGAUAUCUUGAGUGCAGUUGAGGCAGGCGGAAUUCGUGGUGUAGCGGUGAAAUGCUUAGAUAUCACGAAGAACUCCGAUUGCGAAGGCAGCCUGCUAAGCUGCAACUGACAUUGAGGCUCGAAAGUGUGGGUAUCAAACAGGAUUAGAUACCCUGGUAGUCCACACGGUAAACGAUGAAUACUCGCUGUUUGCGAUAUACGGCAAGCGGCCAAGCGAAAGCGUUAAGUAUUCCACCUGGGGAGUACGCCGGCAACGGUGAAACUCAAAGGAAUUGACGGGGGCCCGCACAAGCGGAGGAACAUGUGGUUUAAUUCGAUGAUACGCGAGGAACCUUACCCGGGCUUGAAUUGCAGAGGAAGGAUUUGGAGACAAUGACGCCCUUCGGGGCCUCUGUGAAGGUGCUGCAUGGUUGUCGUCAGCUCGUGCCGUGAGGUGUCGGCUUAAGUGCCAUAACGAGCGCAACCCCUCUCCUUAGUUGCCAUCAGGUUAAGCUGGGCACUCUGGGGACACUGCCACCGUAAGGUGUGAGGAAGGUGGGGAUGACGUCAAAUCAGCACGGCCCUUACGUCCGGGGCUACACACGUGUUACAAUGGGGGGUACAGAGGGCCGCUACCACGCGAGUGGAUGCCAAUCCCCAAAACCUCUCUCAGUUCGGACUGGAGUCUGCAACCCGACUCCACGAAGCUGGAUUCGCUAGUAAUCGCGCAUCAGCCACGGCGCGGUGAAUACGUUCCCGGGCCUUGUACACACCGCCCGUCAAGCCAUGAAAGCCGGGGGCGCCUAAAGUCCGUGACCGUAAGGAGCGGCCUAGGGCGAAACUGGUAAUUGGGGCUAAGUCGUAACAAGGUAGCCGUACCGGAAGGUGCGGCUG
rnacentral:rRNA from 1 species